CCUUGGGAGGUGAGUUUAGACGAGGUCUUUAGAUGGGACCUUCCCCACAGCCUCUCUCUCCUCCGGCUCCUUCCCUCUAUCUCCUGCUCUUCCCAUCAGAGGAUCCAGUGAGCCGCAGCCAUCUGCAGGAGCUCGUCUCUCACGAGAGCUGGGCCACGCUGCACCCCAAGGUCAGACUCAGCCUUCAGGACAGAGAGAACACACCACUGGUGUUUAAGUGGCCUGGUCUAUGGUGGCUCUCAUGGCGAUCUGAGCAGACUGCCACAAAUAGAUCCAGGAUGAGAAAGAUGAGCAAUCAGAGGAGGCAAGCUUUCUAACACCAAAAGCUAAUGAACAGCAGGGAGGGCAUUCGUAAUGUUUUUAGUGGAGGACCAGCUGGUCACCCCUUUCACUCUCGUGGGUGUGUUUGACUGAGAGUACUCAAAUGAGAUGAGGCCUCACAAUGCCAUGAUGACAAGGACUCAGGGUCUAGCACAGUGGACUCCCUUCUUCACUGAGUUCCUGGAAACACAGAUGCUGGCUUGGAACAAGAAGUAGACCCUUGGCUUUGCCAGGCUGUCGCUCGGCUGUAGAACUCAUCAUGGACAGGAUUCAGUGACAGAAGUGAAAGAGCCUGAAAAGCAGCUUCGGAGAUUUUCAGUGAUAGGUAACUGGGGUCAUUGUAAAAAGGAACACACACCAGCAGGAGGGAAGGGCAGCGUGGCAGAGGGUGACGGGUGACGAGGCCAGAAUGGAACCCAGUUGUGCUCUUCCCGUGCGUGUGGCCAGGGCCUGACAGCCCAGGAGUGCCUGAGGCACGGACGUCACCAAGAAGGACAGAAGGGGACAGAGGAAGGCUGCCCAGCACCUGGCCCUUCCUCUCCCUCCUGAACAGCUUCCAUGGCAGCCUGUGGAGGCUAAUGAACCAGAGACAGAGACGGGCAGAAGAGGGGCUGAGCGGUACCGUUUAUCAGCACUGCACACCAAGAACCACUGAUGUGACACUGGUGGUGGCAGCAACCGAGUCCUGACCUGACGCGGGUGGCUUUUGACUUUUGGUGUCCUCGUGAUCUGCGUCACGUGGCACAGUGACUCUUUCUCGUGUCUGUCCCUGGAUUUCAUUUCCUCCCUGGAUUGCUGCGGCUCUUAGUUUCAGACUCUGUGUUCAGCGUUUUUUUUCUCUCGUGGCCGGAGGCGGUACAGCAAAAGGGUCAGUGGUGCAGGCUGGGGUUCAAACCCUGGCCGUGACGCUCAUAGCUCUGUGACUCUGGAAAGCCUAUUAGCACCCUAUGUCUCCUUUUCUGUUGUUAGUUUACUGGAGUACUAUUUCUGGUGACACAAGUGCUAUUACAGUUUGUAUUAAAUUUUUUUGAAUUGUACGAGUCUGCAGGCCGUAAUGUCUAAGUCCCUGUGCGGGCUGGUACCAGUACGGAACACACCCUAAUUCUUUUUCACCCCUGUCCCGUUAGCACCUCCUCCUCCCUGAAUCUCUUGGUCCCAUUUCUAUUUGAGGAAGCUCUAUCCACCUGCUUCCUAUUAUCUGUCUUUUAGUUUGCUCUUUAUACUUUGGAUCUCCACAUGAGAGAAACAUGUGAUAUGUGAGCUUGUGU